rnacentral:rRNA from 1 species
UGGGGAAUUUUGGACAAUGGGGGCAACCCUGAUCCAGCCAUGCCGCGUGAGUGAAGAAGGCCUUCGGGUUGUAAAGCUCUUUCGGACGGAACGAAAUCGCUCGCGUGAAUAACGCGGGUGGAUGACGGUACUGUAAGAAGAAGCACCGGCUAACUACGUGCCAGCAGCCGCGGUAAUACGUAGGGUGCGAGCGUUAAUCGGAAUUACUGGGCGUAAAGCGUGCGCAGGCGGUUGUUUAAGCCAGUCGUGAAAUCCCCGGGCUUAACCUGGGAAUGGCGAUUGGGACUGGACGGCUAGAGUGUGGCAGAGGGAGGUGGAAUUCCACGUGUAGCAGUGAAAUGCGUAGAUAUGUGGAGGAACACCGAUGGCGAAGGCAGCCUCCUGGGCCAGCACUGACGCUCAUGCACGAAAGCGUGGGGAGCAAACAGG